AUUGAACGCUGGCGGCAUGCCUUACACAUGCAAGUCGAACGGUAACGGGCCUUCGGGUGCCGACGAGUGGCGAACGGGGGAGUAAUACAUCGGAACGUGCCCGAUCGUGGGGGAUAACGAGGCGAAAGCUUUGCUAAUACCGCAUACGAUCUACGGAUGAAAGCAGGGGACCGCAAGGCCUUGCGCGGACGGAGCGGCCGGUGGCAGAUUAGGUAGUUGGUGGGAUAAAAGCUUACCAAGCCGACGAUCUGUAGCUGGUCUGAGAGGAUGAUCAGCCACACUGGAACUGAGACACGGCCCAGACUCCUACGGGAGGCAGCAGUGGGGAAUUUUGGACAAAGGGCGCAAGCCUGAUCCAGCCAUGCCGCGUGCAGGAUGGAGGCCUUCGGGUUGUAAACUGCUUUUGUACGGAACGAAAAGCCUUCUUUUAAUACAGGAGGGUCAUGACGGUACCGUAAGAAUAAGCACCGGCUAACUACGUG
rnacentral:rRNA from 1 species